rnacentral:lncRNA from 1 species
UGCAUAACAAGUAAACGAAGAAGCUUAUUAAGAGUAAUGUUAGUGUGUGCUGUGACUCUAGCGCUUCACACUUGAGCAUACUGAGAAUUAUAAAGCAAUGUUUAGUAGUAGUAGUAGUAACUAAACUUUAUGAAAGAUAGGGUGGUAUCUAUUCUAUGUUCCAAGAACUUUUUUAUGCUGCUAGGUCUUCAUAUCGGUUCCCUACACUCUUCUACAAGACUGACUAAGUAUUGCAGGAAUAAAUGACAACAGGCAAAGACCAAAAGCUUCCUCAGUCUGAGACAGACCAAGGAGGGGGGCUGCUGACAGUUGGCUCAUGAGGGUGUAAUAAGUGUGUGAUCAGCAUCAGAAAGGGGACUGACAGUCGACUGAAAUCAGCGAAAAUGAACUGCUCCAACUGUAGGUAUAUUUAGCCAUACUUGUAUUGUAGUAUUAAGAAUGAGUAAUUCUGGCACCCUAACACAGGCUGGUGUGAGAAGAAGUGAC